rnacentral:rRNA from 1 species
CGCCUCUUGAUUUCUAUAAGAGGUCCAGCCUGCCCAGUGACUCUGUUCAACGGCCGCGGUAUCCUAACCGUGCGAAGGUAGCGUAAUCACUUGUUCUCUAAAUGUGGACUAGUAUGAAUGGCACCACGAAGGUUAUACUGUCUCCUCUUUCUAAUCAGUGAAACUGAUCUCCCCGUGAAGAAGCGGGGAUAGCACUAUAAGACGAGAAGACCCUAUGGAGCUUUAAACAAUACAGCAUCUGCCCCCCCCACCAAGAUUUCCGAAUCAAAACUCUUCUGGGCACCAUGACUGCGAGUUUUUGGUUGGGGUGACCGCGGAGCAUAAUAAAACCUCCAUGCUGAAGAAUACCUUUACUAAGCUAAGAAACCACAAAUCUAAGCAUCAAUAUAUUGACAUCCAUUGACCCAAUACACUUGAACAACGAACCAAGUUACCCUAGGGAUAACAGCGCAAUCCACUUCAAAAGCUCCUAUCGACAAGUGGGUUUACGACCUCGAUGUUGGAUCAGGGUCUCCCAGUGGUGCAGCCGCUACUAAAGGUUCGUUUGUUCAACGAUUAAAACCCUA